UACCAGCACCCCGAGUGGUCGGGACGAUUAUUGGGCCUAAAGCAUCCGUAGCCGGUUCUACAAGUCUUCCGUUAAAUCCACCUGCUUAACAGAUGGGCUGCGGAAGAUACUAUAGAGCUAGGAGGCGGGAGAGGCAAGCGGUACUCGAUGGGUAGGGGUAAAAUCCUCUGAUCCAUUGAAGACCACCAGUGGCGAAGGCGGCUUGCCAAUACGCGCUCGACGGUGAGGGAUGAAAGCUGGGGGAGCAAACCGG
rnacentral:rRNA from 1 species